rnacentral:tRNA from 1 species
GGGACGUUAGCUCAGCUGGAUAGAGUUGCGGACUUCGAAUCCGUCGGUCGUAGGUUCGAAUCCUACACGUCCCGCCA